rnacentral:lncRNA from 1 species
CCCUGCUGCCCUCCUCUACAGAUCCUCCUGCCAUCGACCCCUCAAUCCUGGAGGCACUAGCUGCACACCCUGUGACUGUGAAGGUAGGCCACACGGCCCACAUAAAAGUGCCUUUUCGGGCAAAGCCACUGCCCAAAGUGACGUGGUACAAGGACGGCAUGGAAGUUACGGAGGAGGAACGCGUGUCCAUGGAGCGCGGGGAAGACCAGGCACUGCUCACCAUCUCAAACUGCGUGCGUGAAGACAGUGGCCUGGUUCUGCUCAAGCUCAAGAAUGACUACGGCACAGCCACAGCCACUCUGCACCUCAGUGUGCUGGGUAAGGGAAGGGCCUGGCAGGACUGUCUGGAGGCACUGUCUGCCCAGCACUCAGGGCAAGCCGCAGGCUGGUGAGGAGGACCACCACAGAGUUGUUUGGUCAGGGGAUGGGGCUGAAGUGCUGACUUAGCAACAAGAGGACCACUUCCAAAAUUCCUAAGUAACCCUGGUCAAGUGGGCUUCUCAAGCC